UGUCUCUUGAGCUAAUGCCAAGCUAACUCUAGCAGCAAAAUUAUCAUGCAAAGGCAUGUGGUCCAUUAAAAAUAUGAGUCAGAAUUGCAGGGUGAUGUCACAUCAGCUGCCCCUGAUGAUAGCUAUCAAAAGUUAGCACAAGCUUCCAAAUCACAAACGCUUUGGCUCUGAUCCUAUUUUAGUGAAUCUGCUUUUACGAUUAAACCAUCACUCUAAUUGGCACUGGAAGAGCAUUGGCAGUCUGCUGUGGUUGCCUUCCUUGCAAAGCAUGUUUGUGAUGCUCAUCUCUGAAUGAUGCAUAGUGUCUGCCUGUCUUCAAAUAUAAAAAAAAAAAAAAAAAAUUAGAAAAAGAAGGUAUGAACAGCAGCUGGCAGAUAGACUGGUCAGCAGUGAUUCACUCCCUGGCAGCCAUGAUGAGAGCACCAUGAGCUAAAUUCAGCCCUGCUGGAGGUAUCAAGGGAAAAUGGCUAGCAGUGAGUUCUGUAGCUUUUCCUGCUCUACAGCCCCUCUGGCUUAGCCAGCUGGAUCACACUGAAUUAGUCAAGUACUUCAUUAUCUCCCUUCUCUGCACAUUUAGCUCCAGCAGGAACGAACCCUUCCACAGCCAUACUGACCUCGGGGGUCUCCGAGCACUUCUCCACCUGCCUGGGAAGGACAGACAGCCUCUCCCAGCUGCCCACAGGUGGAAGCAGGCUGCGAGCCCUCCAUGCUGCUAAGUGCAAGGAUUAUAGAACAGCGAGAAAGCAAAUUGCUACAGUUAAAGAAAGAAAACAGCAGGACUAACACAUUUUAGUAGGGAGGAUGCAGGCAGUAGCAUGGGGCAUGCUGGCAGUGCGUGACAGCCCUCCAUCCCAGCCACUGCCCACAGGAACACCUACGUGCCCCCCAUCUCCUCAGCAAGCACGAGUUCAGCAACAGCAAUUCAUCAUUGGGAGAAACAUUAAUAUUUUACCUUAGUUACCAAGUGCGCCCGUUCAAACUUUUAUCUAAAACAUUCUUUAUCAUCUUUUCAUUAAGUUCUCAAGAGCUAAUGGUUUCUGAGUUCCCGGGGUAAGGAUGAUGUUCUGAAUAAUGAAAGCUCAUUAUUUCUCCACAGAAUGCUUGUUAAUUCAAAUGAUGAUAUUAAAACUAUAGUAGCC